GAUUAAGGCAGUAAAGGUCUUUCUAGAUAACACCUUGGGGGAGAACACUGACUAUAAUAUUCAGAUAAAGAUUAAGGCAGUAAAGGUCUUUCUAGAUAGCACCUUGGGGAGAAAACUGACUAUAAUAUUCAGAUAAAGAUUAAGGCAGUAAAGGUCUUUCUAGAUAACACCUUGGGGAGAACACUGACUAUAAUAUUCAGAUAAAGAUCAAGGCAGUAAAGGUCUUUCUAGAUAGUACCUUUUGGAGAACACUCACUAUAAUAUUCAGAUAAAGAUUAAGGCAGUAAAGGUCUUUCUAGAUAACACCUUGGGGGAGAACACUGACUAUAAUAUUCAGAUAAAGAUUAAGGCAGUACAGGUCUUUCUAGAUAGCACCUUGGGGAGAACACUGACUAUAAUAUUCAGAUAAAGAUUAAGGCAGUAAAAGUCUUUCUAGAUAGCACCUUGGGGAGAACACUGACUAUAAUAUUCAGAUAAAGAUUAAGGCAGUAAAGGUCUUUCUAGAUAACACCUUGGGGUGAACACUGACUAUAAUAUUCAGAUAAAGAUUAAGGCAGUAAAGGUCUUUCUAGAUAACACCUUGGGGAGAACACUGACUUUAAUAUGCAGAUAAAGAUUAAGGCAGUAAAGGUCUUUCUAGAUAACACCUUGGGGGAGAACACUGAUUAUAAUAUUCAGAUAAAGAUUAAGGCAGUAAAGGUCUUUCUAGAUAGCACCUUGGGGAGAACACUGACUAUAAUAUUCAGAUAAAGAUUAAGGCAGUAAAGGUCUUUCUAGAUAGCACCUUGGGGGAGAACACUCACUAUAAUAUUUAGAUAAGGAUUAAGGCAGUAAAGGUCUUUCUAGAUAGCACCUUGGGGAGAACACUGACUAGUAUAUUCAGAUAAAGAUUAAGGCAGUAAAAGUCUUUCUAUAUAACACCUUGGGGAGAACACUGACUAUAAUAUUCAGAUGAAGAUUAAGGCAGUAAAGGUCUUUCUAGAUAACACCUUGGGGAGAACAUUGACUAUAAUAUUCAGAUGAAGAUUAAGGAAGUAAAGGUCUUUCUAGAUAACACCUUGGAGAGAACACUCACUAUAAUAUUCAGAUGGAGAUUAAGGCAGUAAAGGUCUUUCUAGAUAGCACCUUGGGGAGAACAUUGACUAUAAUAUUUAGAUGAAGAUGAAGGCAGUAAAGGUAUUUCUAGAUAACACCUUGGGGAGAACACUGACUAUAAUAUUCAGAUAAAGAUUAAGGCAGUAAAGGUCUUUCUAGAUAGCACCUUGGGGAGAACACUGACUAUAACAUUCAGAUGAAGAUUAAGGCAGUAAAGGUCUUUUUAGAUAGCACCUUGGGGGAGAACACUGACUAGUAUAUUCAGAUAAAGAUUAAGGCAGUAAAAGUCUUUCUAGAUAGCACCUUGGGGAGAACACUGACUAUAAUAUUCAGAUGAAGAUUAAGGCAGUAAAGGUCUUUCUAGAUAGCACCUUGGGGAGAACAUUGACUAUAAUAUUUAGAUGAAGAUGAAGGCAGUAAAGGUAUUUCUAGAUAACACCUUGGGGAGAACACUGACUAUAAUAUUCAGAUAAAGAUUAAGGCAGUAAAGGUCUUUCUAGAUAGCACCUUGGGGAGAACACUCACUAUAAAAUUCAGAUGAAAAUUAAGGCAGUAAAGGUCUUUUUAGAUAGCACCUUGGGGAGAACACUGACUAUAACAUUCAGAUUAAGAUUAAGGCAGUAAAGGUCUUUCUAGAUAGCACCUUGGGGAGAACACUGACUAUAACAUUCAGAUGAAGAUUAAGGCAGUAAAGGUCUUUCUAGAUAGCACCUUGGGGAGAACACUGACUAUAACAUUCAGAUGAAGAUUAAGGCAGUAAAGGUCUUUUUAGAUAGCACCUUGGGGAGAACACUGACUAGUAUAUUCAGAUAAAGAUUAAGGCAGUAAAAGUCUUUCUCGA